UAAGCUAUUUUUUGUGAUUGUAUUCAGCUCAAGCUGUAGUAAAUGCUCUUUUCAGCAUAAAAAGUAACGAUUAUUUCUCUGUCUAAAUUUAUUCGUAAAAUAUGCAUCACCUACCAUUAAAUUUCUUUGAUUUUUGCUACUGUGUUCAUCCACAAGCUACAAAAUGAAUCAUCUGAGCUGUCAAAAGAUAUUUUCGAAAAGAAAAUAAUGGGCCCGGAAAAAGCUAUAUUGUAGAAGAUGCAAUGGGUUGGUGUUUAUCCCGGUCUUAAGAAAGAAAGAUUCCAGAUUUGCUGCUGUUCUCUAGACAUUUCUCCUCAACUAUUUAAUUGUUGGAAUUGGAAUAGAACGAGAAAUCCGUGGAUGCUGAACCAACCAUGGCCAAAAAGGCAGUGAAAAUGUACUUGUGAACACCAAAAGAAAAUCGAACGGGAAGUUACCCAAACCCAAGAAAAGAAUAAAAACACAGAAAAAUGAGAAAAACGGAAUUUUUAAUCCUUCUAUUUUGAAACAUCAACAAAAUUUGUGUAUAAUUUACGUAGCUCAGCCUCUUGGCAAGGCUCUAAUUUGAUAACUAUCAUGCUGGGUUUCGCGCAUUUGAUUGUUUCGGGUAGCGAAAAGCUUUUCUCCAUAACAGCCGGCGGGGGUGGAA